rnacentral:lncRNA from 1 species
CGGAAAUGGCUGCACUCCUCCGGGGUCAGCAGCUCGGCCAGGCGGAGCGCCGCGUGAGGACCCAUGGUGUCCAAGGCCCCCGCCGGCCCCAGCGCCCAGCCGCACAGCACCAGGAGAGCCCGCACCGCCAUCGUCCCAACUGCGGCGAUUGUGGGGGGGGGGCUGGGAACAUUCGGUCUGCGCUGGACCAAGCCCUCUCGCUGUCUCUUCGCUUCUCGAUUAGGAGGCUUGGCCCUGGCUCUUCUGGACCUGCACUCCUGCUGCCCGCUGACUUGUGGGAAGCCCUCCCUGACUUGCUUCGUUCUCUUCAGUGCGUUGAAAGUGCCUUCUCCUCUGCACCGCUGCCCGCGGCACUGCAGCUCUACCUUUUCACUGUCUCCUUCACUAGACUGAGGUACACUGUCCCCACGGACUAG